rnacentral:rRNA from 1 species
GGGUCAGUAGGUUGGUCGUGCCACCGGUACGUACUGGUCUCACUGAUUCCUCCUUCCUGAAGAACCGUAAUGCCAUUAAUUUGGUGUUGCGGGGGAACGGGACUGUUACUUUGAAAAAAUUAGAGUGUUUAAAACAAGCUAACGCUUGAAUACAUUAGCAUGGAAUAAUGAAAUAGGACGAUCGAUCCUAUUUUGUUGGUUUCUAGGAUUGACGUA